GAUGAACGCUAGCUACAGGCUUAACACAUGCAAGUCGAGGGGCAGCAUGAACUUAGCUUGCUAAGUUUGAUGGCGACCGGCGCACGGGUGAGUAACACGUAUCCAACCUUCCGUUUACUCAGGGAUAGCCUUUCGAAAGAAAGAUUAAUACCUGAUAGUAUGGUGAGAUUGCAUGAUAGCACCAUUAAAGAUUUAUUGGUAAACGAUGGGGAUGCGUUCCAUUAGGUAGUAGGCGGGGUAACGGCCCACCUAGCCGACGAUGGAUAGGGGUUCUGAGAGGAAGGUCCCCCACAUUGGAACUGAGACACGGUCCAAACUCCUACGGGAGGCAGCAGUGAGGAAUAUUGGUCAAUGGGCGUGAGCCUGAACCAGCCAAGUAGCGUGAAGGAUGAAGGUCCUACGGAUUGUAAACUUCUUUUAUACGGGAAUAAAGUAUCCUACGUGUAGGAUUUUGUAUGUACCGUAUGAAUAAGCAUCGGCUAACUCCGUGCCAGCAGCCGCGGU
rnacentral:rRNA from 1 species